UACCAGCACCCCGAGUGGUCGGGACGCUUAUUGGGCCUAAAGCAUCCGUAGCCGGUUCUACAAGUCUUCCGUUAAAUCCAACUGCUUAACAGGUGGGCUGCGGAAGAUACUAUAGAGCUAGGAGGCGGGAGAGGCAAGCGGUACUCGAUGGGUAGGGGUAAAAUCCGUUGAUCCAUUGAAGACCACCAGUGGCGAAGGCGGCUUGCCAGAACGCGCUCGACGGUGAGGGAUGAAAGCUGGGGGAGCAAACCGG
rnacentral:rRNA from 1 species